CAAAACACACCAAGCCUGGUGCCAAUCAUUGACAAUAUUAUGGAACUGACUCAGCGCAAGAAGACAGCUUCGACUCCUUGUGAUUUCAUCCCUAACCAAUCAGCACUCCUGGCUCACUGGCUUCCCCCAACCCACCAAAUUGUCCUUAAAAACUCUGCUCUCCAAACGCUGGGGGAGACUGAUUUGAGUAAUAAUAAAACCCUGGUCUCCUGCACAGUUGGCUCUGCGUGAAUUACUCUUUCUCUAUUCCAAUUCCC
rnacentral:lncRNA from 1 species